GGGGUAAACCUGCGAAACUCGAAUGAACGAACGGAGAGAUUCAUCGUCAUUCCCCGGCGUACGGACGCGCGCCUCGAUGUCUGCGAUCUCGAUCUGCGGGCACGGGUCGCGUCCGUCGACGUCCGGGGACGGCGUGCACUUCUCUCUUAGUAUUUGCAUCGCGACCCGUUCGAUGUCGGUCUAAGCGACGUUCGGGAGCCCGAUCGUCACCUUCGCGGGUGGCGGUCGGACCGCGACGAUCGCCGACCGGCCGUCGGACGGUAUACAGUAUGUGAAUCGCGCACGCGUCUACGACGCGUCCGGCCCGACGCAAGUCAACGUCGUAUCCGGCGUUCCGCCCGAGCGCGGACGCUGGUGCGGCGCGUCUGUCGUCGCAGCCGUGUAGUCUCGGACUGUGCGCGUCUCCGUCUGCGAUGAUUCAGUUUCGGGCACUCGCAGGACCCGUCUUGAAACACGGACCAAGGAGUCUAGCAUGUAUGCGAGUCAUUGAGAUUAUAUUAAAACUGAAAGGCGCAACGAAAGUGAAGGCGCGCGCUAGCCGCGCGCUCAGGGAGGAUGGAGCAUCGAUCUAGAUCGACCUCUCGCACUCCCGAGGCGUCUCGUUUCCAAUCCGUGAAUGCAGGCGCGCUC
rnacentral:rRNA from 1 species